rnacentral:rRNA from 1 species
AAAUUGAAGAGUUUGAUCAUGGCUCAGAUUGAACGCUGGCGGCAGGCCUAACACAUGCAAGUCGAGCGGUAGCACAGAGAGCUUGCUCUCGGGUGACGAGCGGCGGACGGGUGAGUAAUGUCUGGGAAACUGCCUGAUGGAGGGGGAUAACUACUGGAAACGGUAGCUAAUACCGCAUAACGUCGCAAGACCAAAGUGGGGGACCUUAGGGCCUCAUGCCAUCAGAUGUGCCCAGAUGGGAUUAGCUAGUAGGUGGGGUAACGGCUCACCUAGGCGACGAUCCCUAGCUGGUCUGAGAGGAUGACCAGCCACACUGGAACUGAGACACGGUCCAGACUCCUACGGGAGGCAGCAGUGGGGAAUAUUGCACAAUGGGCGCAAGCCUGAUGCAGCCAUGCCGCGUGUGUGAAGAAGGCCUUCGGGUUGUAAAGCACUUUCAGCGGGGAGGAAGGCGGUGAGGUUAAUAACCUUGUCGAUUGACGUUACCCGCAGAAGAAGCACCGGCUAACUCCGUGCCAGCAGCCGCGGUAAUACGGAGGGUGCAAGCGUU